GAGAUCGUCACUAUCUUGAAGUUAUUUGUAACGAGCAUACUGUUCAAUUUUAGGCAGGGCAUCCGUGGUUUUCAAUUUUGACGAGGACUGGUGUUUUCAAGGAAAGAGGAAAUCAUGCAGAAUUUCCUGCUGAUCUAGUGGUCGACACUGUUGAAGAGGCAGUGGAUUUCAUUUUGAAGAGAGAGUCUAGUUAGCAGCAUUGGCAAUUUUGUUUUCUGAAUUGCUGCCAUGUUGCCUUUGCUCAUAGAUGUUUGUGAUUUUCAAGUUGAAGUUUGUUAAAAGUAACUCAAACAGUAAUUUGUAUUCAGGUCUAACAUUAUUUUUACCUAACUUGAACUGCUGUCUUUCUAGGCCCCCUCUCUUCUGAACUCAGUACUGUUGUAGCAUUCAUUUUACACAAUAUUAAAAAAAAAGUUAAAUUGAAAAUAGAAGAUAGCGUAGGUUGGAAUUGAAAGAGAUGGAAGUUUAUUU